GCCGGGCAUGGUGUUUCAUGCCUGUAAUCCCAGCACUUUGGGAGGCUGAGGUGGGUGGAUCACCUGAGGUCAAGAGUUCUAGACCAGCCUGGCCAAUAUGGUGAAACCCCAUCUCUA
ensembl:misc_RNA Metazoa_SRP Metazoan signal recognition particle RNA